GGUAGAUGUGUAUGUAUCCAUCCUAUAAAUAGGCAACAUUGGAAGCACAAAAUGACUCAACACCUCUUUAACAAUGUCUGGAGCUCCAUCCCACUCAGCCAUGGUAAGACCUGGCUCUUCUGUGACAUCCUCCAAUAAUAAUAAACCCGUAUCGUUCCAACGCUCCAUAGAACAACAAAACGCUCCGUCACUUUCAAAUGCGGAUAAUCGUGUAAAUAAGUCAAGCCUCCAGUAUGUGAAAGAAGCUGGAAACGCCCCUGCUAAGCCAGCGUCGAUUGGAGGUGUUACUCAUGUCGACAACAAAUGAUUGUAUUGUUUUUCAUAUUUCUAUGUCAUGAUCUUCAAUCGAUUGUCGUGGUGUCUGUUUCCUAAAAGUCGUGUUUGAUUUCAAGUCCAAGUGUUAAAAUCUUGUGUUUUUCUUUUUACUACGUAAUUUGUUUUAAGAAUCACAGUGAUUUAUGUGUUGAUUUUUGAAGACAAUGUACUUGUAUUUGAAAAUCUGAUAUUGUGUAACUAUUAAAAGCUUUGAUCUUUUAUAAUCAUAAAAUUAUAUUGAUAUUUUGUUUGAAUCAGUGGUGAUGGUGAAAAAAAAAAAAAAAAAAAAAAUUAGUAAAAGAUAA
rnacentral:lncRNA from 1 species